GUGCCAGCAGCCGCGGUAAGACGAACCGUGCGAACGUUAUUCGGAAUCAUUGGGCUUAAAGGGCGCGUAGGCGGCGGCGUAAGUUGGAAGUGAAAUCCCAUCGGCUCAACCGUGGAAUUGCUCCCAGUACUGCGUCGCUCGAGGGGGAUAGGGGUCUGCGGAACUACCGGUGGAGCGGUGAAAUGUGUUGAUAUCGGUGGGAACGCCAGUGGCGAAAGCGGCAGACUGGACCCUUCCUGACGCUGAUGCGCGAAAGCUAGGGGAGCAAACGGGAUUAGAUACCCCGGUAGUCCUAGCCUUAAACGUUGGGUACUGAGUAGAAAGGGGACCGAUACCCCCUUCUGCUGGAGCGAAAGUGUUAAGUACCCCGCCUGGGGAGUAUGGUCGCAAGGCUGAA
rnacentral:rRNA from 1 species